CAGAGCACUGGAGCAUCUGAUGAAUAUGCAAACAGACUCCAGAUCAUUUACCUCAAGACAGAGAUACACAGUCUUGCCAUUUUAUUUCUUCAAUUUUUAUUUACCAUUUUCACAAACAGACAUUUAUAAUUUACUUCAUGUUAUUUUGGGUGGAGCUUCACCCUGCAAACACUGUUUAAUGUUUAGUUUCAUUCAGACUUUGAUGCUGAGAGCAUUUAAUAUCUGAUGUGCAGAUUUCUAUGAUCAUCUAUGAUACUGUAUCCAUCAUGUAUGUAUGAUCAUCCAAUACGGAAUGACCAUCUAAAUCUUGCUAAAGAUUUCAUUAUAAAGCAGAAUGAAGCACUGUGGUGGACUUUUGGUGGAGGAACUAAACUGACGAUCGCUGGUCCCGCAGUGAAGCCCUCCGUGUCUCUGCUGCCUCCCUCUUCUCUGCAGCUCUUUGGAGACUCAGACGCACUGCUCUGCCUGCUCAGCUCUUACUCUCCACAGGGGGCGCAGGUGAGCUGGACGCUGGACGGGUCAGAGGUCACCGAGGGGGUUCAGACCAGCGCAGAGAGCGAGCGGGACGGACGCUACAGCCGCAGCAGCGUCCUGAGCCUCAGCAAAGCACGCUGGGAAGACGGCGAGCGCUUCGUCUGCAGAGUAACACAUGACGGAGCUGCUCAGGAGGCCUCGUUCCUCAAGAGCUCCGAGUGCUGAUGUUUCUCCAGUGAAGAGCAGCAGGAUUCACAGCAGUCACCUGAUUUACAGCUCAAUACUCAAGCAGUCUUUCAAUGUGCUGCCAUUGCUGUUCAUUCAAUAAAGCUUCUGAACGCCUUACA